rnacentral:rRNA from 1 species
AUUGAACGCUGGCGGCAUGCUUUACACAUGCAAGUCGGACGAGUGGCGAACGGGUGAGUAAUAUAUUGGAACGUACCGAGUAAUGGGGGAUAACCAAUCGAAAGAUUGGCUAAUACCGCAUACUAUUCGAGCGGCCAAUAUCUGAUUAGCUAGUUGGUGGGGUAACGGGGUACCAAGGCGACGAUCAGUAGCGGGUCUGAGAGGAUGAUCCGCUACCCGGGAACUUAGAGACGGCCCAUACUCCUACGGGAGGCAGCAGUGGGGAAUUUUGGACAAUGGGAGAAAGCCUGAUGCAGCCAUGCCGCGUGUCUGAAGAAGGCCUUCGGGUUUUAAAGGACUUUACUUAGGGAGGCGGUACCUAAAGAAUAAGCACCGGCUAACUACGUGCCAGCAGCCGCGGUAAUAC